GACGAACGCUGGCGGCGUGCUUAACACAUGCAAGUCGAGCGGUAAGGCCCUUUCGGGUACACGAGCGGCGAACGGGUGAGUAACACGUGGGUGAUCUGCCUCGCACUCUGGGAUAAGCCUGGGAAACUGGGUCUAAUACCGGAUAUGACCAUUGAUCGCAUGGUUGGUGGUGGAAAGAUUUAUCGGUGCGAGAUGGGCCCGCGGCCUAUCAGCUUGUUGGUGGGGUAAUGGCCUACCAAGGCGACGACGGGUAGCCGGCCUGAGAGGGCGACCGGCCACACUGGGACUGAGACACGGCCCAGACUCCUACGGGAGGCAGCAGUGGGGAAUAUUGCACAAUGGGCGGAAGCCUGAUGCAGCGACGCCGCGUGAGGGAUGACGGCCUUCGGGUUGUAAACCUCUUUCGACAGGGACGAAGCGCAAGUGACGGUACCUGUAGAAGAAGCACCGGCCAACUACGUG
rnacentral:rRNA from 1 species